rnacentral:rRNA from 1 species
GACGAACGCUGGCGGCGUGCUUAACACAUGCAAGUCGAACGAAGAGCGAUGGAAGCUUGCUUCUAUCAAUCUUAGUGGCGAACGGGUGAGUAACGCGUAAUCAACCUGCCCUUCAGAGGGGGACAACAGUUGGAAACGACUGCUAAUACCGCAUACGAUCUAAUCUCGGCAUCGAGGAUAGAUGAAAGGUGGCCUCUACAUGUAAGCUAUCACUGAAGGAGGGGAUUGCGUCUGAUUAGCUAGUUGGAGGGGUAACGGCCCACCAAGGCGAUGAUCAGUAGCCGGUCUGAGAGGAUGAACGGCCACAUUGGGACUGAGACACGGCCCAGACUCCUACGGGAGGCAGCAGUGGGGAAUCUUCCGCAAUGGACGAAAGUCUGACGGAGCAACGCCGUGUGAGCGAUGACGGCCUUCGGGUUGUAAAGCUCUGUUAAUCGGGACGAAAGGCCUUCUUGCGAAUAGUGAGAAGGAUUGACGGUACCGGAAUAGAAAGCCACGGCUAACUACGUG